UACGUAGGGGGCAAGCGUUGUCCGGAUUUAUUGGGCGUAAAGAGCGUGUAGGCGGCCAGGUAGGUCUGCUGUGAAAACUCGAGGCUUAACCUCGAGCUGUCGGCGGAAACCAUCUGGCUAGAGUCCGGAAGAGGAGAAUGGAAUUCCCGGUGUAGCGGUGAAAUGCGCAGAUAUCAGGAAGAACACCAAUGGCGAAGGCAGCUCUCUGGGACGGUACUGAUGCUGAGACGCGAAAGCGUGGGGAGCGAACAGG
rnacentral:rRNA from 1 species